rnacentral:rRNA from 1 species
UACGGAGGGUGCGAGCGUUGUCCGGAAUCAUUGGGCGUAAAGGGCUCGUAGGCGGUCUGUUGCGUCAGGAGUGAAAACUCGGGGCUUAACCCCGAGCCUGCUUCUGAUACGGGCAGACUAGAGGUAUGCAGGGGAGAACGGAAUUCCUGGUGUAGCGGUGAAAUGCGCAGAUAUCAGGAGGAACACCGGUGGCGAAGGCGGUUCUCUGGGCAUUACCUGACGCUGAGGAGCGAAAGUGUGGGGAGCGAACAGG